GCGAGCAAGGCUGGAGAAGCAAGGACCAUGGCCCUGGUAGGGAGGUCUCGCUUUGUCAGGUUCCAGAGCUUGGGGCAUUGCUGCUGGGUGCUGAGGACAGGGCUCAGGAGACCUGGGUCCCAGGCCAGCUCACCCUGGAGCUGGGCAUCGCUUUUCUCCCCGGCCAAUGGGAGAAGGACUCUGUGCUGUCUUCCUGGUUGGCUUGUUUGUGGACAGAAAGCUCUCUGGACCAGGCAUGAUGGCUCACACCUGUAAUCCCAGCACUUUGGGAGGCCAAGGCAGGAGGAUCACCUGAGGUCAGGAGUUUGAGACCAGCCUGACCAACAUGGAAAAACCCUGUCUCUACUAACAAUACAAAAAAUUAACUGAGUGUGGUGGCUCACACCUGUAAUUCCAGCUACUUGGGAGGCUGAGGCAAGAGAAUCACUCGAACCCGGGAGGCAGAGGUUGCAGUGAGCUGAGAUUGCACCAUUGCACUCCAGCCUGGGCAACAAGAGCAAAACUCCAUCUCAAAAAAAAAAAUUAUAAUUUCUUAAAAGCAUCAUGCAUACUUGAGACUUCUUUGAAAUGAGAACAUCUAAACCAACCAACAGCUUUAAAAUGUAAUGAAAUGUUCAUGAUUUCUAGGCUUUCCAAUUAAUGAAGGUGUCACAUGAUUGUGGUUUAUAGACAUUAAAUGACAUAAUUUUCAUUUUCAUUUUCUGGUUUUUAAAAAGUAUUUUGGGCCAGGUGCG
rnacentral:lncRNA from 1 species